CUGGAACAGGCUGCCCAGGGAGGCUGUGGAGUCUCCUUCUCUGGAGAUAUUCAAGGCCCCUCUGGAUGCCUACCUGGGCAGCCUGCUCUAAGGAACCGGCUUUGGCAGGAGGGAUGCACACAAUGAUCUUUAAGGUCCCUUCCAACACAAACCAUUCU